rnacentral:rRNA from 1 species
UACGGAGGGUGCAAGCGUUGUCCGGAUUUACUGGGUGUAAAGGGCGUGUAGGCGGGAGAAUGUGUCGGAAGUGAAAUCGCGCGGCUUAACCGUGUCAAUUGCUUCCGAAACUGUUCUUCUUGAAUGCGAGAGAGGCAGAUGGAAUUCCAGGUGUAGCGGUGGAAUGCGUAGAUAUCUGGAAGAACACCAGUGGCGAAGGCGGUCUGCUGGCUCGUGAUUGACGCUGAGGAGCGAAAGGGUGGGGAGCAAACAGG